rnacentral:lncRNA from 1 species
AUGGGCUGCUUGGGGACCCAGGGAGCUCCCAAGGUCUUUCCUGCUGCUUCCUCUACCCCUGUAUUUCGUUCGGCUGUCUAGACUGACUCAGCUUCAGGCCCUCUGUGCAUGCCAUGCUUAAUAAGGUAAUAAAAAGGUAAGAUUAUAAAGAAGGAAGAGGCCUAUCAAGGAAAGAAGGCUCUUUAUUUGCUUUGCUGUCAUGGUAUCCUUCCCAUUCCACUGGCUUCCAGCACAUAUGUGGAAACUUUUUGGGAAAGUUCCCCAAAACUUUGGGGAACUGUGUUCCCCUGAAGUUUGGAGGGUGAGGAGUGAAAGAGGUUGAGAAGAAUGAGCUGGCUGGGUUGGACAUUCAGAGGUGACAAUGGCCAGAUCAACCUUGAUGGAGUCUUGUUCUGUCACCAGGCUGGAGUGCAGUGGUGCGAUCUCAGCUCACUACAACCUCCACCUCCUGGGUUCAAGUGAAUCCCCUGCCUCAGCCUCCCUAGUAGCUGGGACUACAGGCACACACCACCACACCUGGCUAAUUUUUUGUAUUUUUUAGUAGAGACGGGGUUUCACCAUGUUGGCCAGGAUGGUCUCAAUCUCUUGACCUCAUGAUCUGCCCACCCCACCCUCCCAAAGUUCUGGGAUUACAGGCCUGAGCCACUGCACCUGGCUGCUAGUUCUUAAGAGGGAGGUAUGAGACGUAUGUAUAGACUAAGUGAAAGGAAAAUAUCUUGGGCCCCCAAAAUCACUAAGCUAAAAGGAAAAUUCAAGCUGGAAACUGCUCAGAGCAAACCUGCUUCCCAUUCUAUUCAAAGUCAUCCCUCUGCUCACUGAGGUAAAUGCAUAUUCUGAUUGGCUCCUUUGUAAAAGCUAAUUAGAAACUCAAAAGAAUGCAACUAUUUGUCUCUCACCUACUUGUGACCUGGAAGACCCCUCCCUGCUUCAAGUUCUCCCCACCUUUUUGGACAAAACCAGUGUACUUCUUACUGUAUUGAUUAAUGUCUUGUGUCUCCCUAAAGUGUAUAAAACCAAGUUGUGCCCUGACCACCUUGGGCACAGGUCAUCAGGACUUCCUGAGGCUGUGUCAUGGG